rnacentral:piRNA from 1 species
UGCAUUUUGGGUUCCUAAACGAUAAAGC